GUCGAACGCCGUAGCAAUACGGAGUGGCAGACGGGUGAGUAACGCGUGGGAACCUUCCCAGUGGUACAGAAUAGCCCGGGGAAACCCGGAGUAAUACCGUAUAAGCCCGAAAGGGGAAAGAUUUAUCGCCAUUGGAUGGGCCCGCGUCGGAUUAGCUAGUUGGUGAGGUAACGGCUCACCAAGGCGACGAUCCGUAGCUGGUCUGAGAGGAUGAUCAGCCACACUGGGACUGAGACACGGCCCAGACUCCUACGGGAGGCAGCAGUAGGGAAUAUUGGACAAUGGGCGAAAGCCUGAUCCAGCCAUGCCGCGUGAGUGACGAAGGCCUUCGGGUUGUAAAGCUCUUUUGGCGGGGACGAUAAUGACGGUACCCGCAGAAUAAGCCCCGGCUAACUUCGUGCCAGCAGCCGCGGUAAUACGAAGGGGGCUAGCGUUGUUCGGAAUCACUGGGCGUAAAGCGCACGUAGGCGGACUUUCAAGUCAGGGGUGAAAUCCCGGAGCUCAACUUCGGAAUUGCCUUUGAUACUGUUGGUCUCGAGUCCGGAAGAGGUGGGUGGAAUUCCUAGUGUAGAGGUGAAAUUCGUAGAUAUUAGGAAGAACACCGGUGGCGAAGGCGGCCCACUGGUCCGGUACUGACGCUGAGGUGCGAAAGCGUGGGGAGCAAA
rnacentral:rRNA from 1 species